GCCGGGAUCGUCUAGAGGUUUAUGAUAUCGCUCUUGUAAAGCGAAGGUCGGGUGUUCGACUCACUCUUCCGGCA
rfam:Rhodotorula sp. JG-1b unplaced genomic scaffold RHOSPscaffold_52, whole genome shotgun sequence.